GAAAUCAGCUACUUUUUUUAGUUGAAUUAGAUUAUAUGUGCAAUUAAGAUGAUGACAGUACCAAAGGCAUUUCAAGCAGUAUUUUUAAGUGCCUUUAAGCUUAAACAUAUUGUAGGAUUUAAUACUAUGUGUCACGUUGAUUGAUUCCUGAGAUGGCUCAGCCUUUCCUGGAAAAGUGGGCAGAUGGGCCGUGAGCCAAGGAUCUGCUUGCAAGACUGAUCCAAAGCUCUGGUAAUGGCAUCAUACCUUCUACGUAGCUUUGAGUACCCAAGUAGGUGUCUUGAAAUCAACCUGUUCAGCUGGAGUUCCCAAAGUUACAUGCCAGGCAUUUAGGCUUGAGCACAAUAAACCUCAGGUUGUUAAUACAGGUGAAAUAAUGAACAUAGAAUACAGAACUGAGCUGAUUUGGAACUGUGGUGAUCCCAUGGUCACACUGACUUCAACUGGAUGGCCCCUGCAGAAAGCUACAUCUGGAGUUUCAGGUGUAUUCAAAUCUUGGUUCUUCUAACAUUCUAUUUCCAAGCAUUCUCAAGAAUAAGACCCAAUACAAAAGCAAAAUCCCUGCUCAAAGCAGGCAAUUGAAAACCAGAACUGAUCUACUCAUUGACAAGGCUGCCUGGCACUUUCUCAGUGGUUUUCAAUCUCACAGCAUGAUGAAAGGAGGAUGUCUUUUUAUGGGCUGUGGUGUGAUAUCGACAGAGUUAUUCAGUGGCAGUAGCAGAUCUGUUACCUACAAGAAAGGUCUUUUAAAAGCAUAUGAGCUCCUUAAGGUCUGAGACAGUCUUUGUUCCCUUGUUACAAUGAGUGAGGAAUUCUUAAUGGUUUAAUUGUGUUUCUCCAAAAAUGAUCAUUUUGCUGGGACACUUUCUGCUUCAUUGUCAUCUAAGUUUUUGGGCAGUUUUUGCUCUAUUUUUAUCUUUUUUUUUUUACUAUUUUGCUACUCAGAGCGAUUUACGGCAGCCAAAUGACAAGCUUCCAAGAUGACAAAAAGGCUUCUGGCCUUUCUGUCAAUGACUUUAUCAGGACUGUCUCUUCUCAUUCAUCAACCUAAUUUUUUAAGUAUAAUGUCUUACAAAUGUUCCAGGAAGAAACAAUGUCAAACAAUACAUAUUAAAAGAAAAUGGGACCAGGCUGUAAGCAGGAGGAAAAUGACCGUUUCCAAACAACAGCAUAUAAACAACUCUCAGGUUUACACUUAGCAUUAUGUCCUUCAGUUCAGAUGGGGAAGACAUCCUAUCCACUUUGCAAAGGCAAGUCCCUCACCAGGAUGACCAACGAUUUCAACAGUAUCUCGCCUGGGACCUUCAGAGACUCAAAAGCAGAAGCCUUUCUGGAAAAAGGACUGGUGCUUUAAGGAUCAUGCACACAUUUACUAAGGUUGCUUGAAAGUCUUGAUAAUGGAAGCAUAGAAAACUUUACAAAGAGUUGGUCAUUCAGCUCUCCUCAAAGACUUUUUCCAAGCACUUACUAUUCAUCAGGGAGUUAAUAACAGCCUUGAACAGAGAGGCUCCUAUUCACUGGAGUUAGGUUGGAUCUGUCAGGUACAAAGGCAAAUUCACAGCACUGAAGGUAUUUGUGCCUUUGGAUAAACAGAGGUAAACAGUUUCAGCAUCCCCAAAAUGGAAGAAAAGUUUGAGAAUGUUGGAAUGUUUCAAUCUGACAUUUCUGAAGUGUCACAUUAUAUUACGGAAAAUUCUAUAAUGUUUUGGACAGAGCUCUUUUGAAAGAAACUUUGUACAGCUUUCAGCAAGCUUUUUUUUUUCUUUUUUUUUUUUUUCCCAUUUAAAAAUAGACCAAAACUCAAAGGCAAAAGAAACCAUUAGCCAAAAUGUCAAGUAAUCUGAAAACCUGACACUAUGUCUUGAAUGGAUUCAAUUAAAUAAGUUGUGUCUACCAAAAAAUGACAUGCAAAGCAACCCAGAGGGAUUCAGAAGGCUGAUUUGUUGGGCGCUAAUAGCCUUUUUUCUGAUAGAAUCUUCAACAUAGAGAAAAAUCAGCUCAGAAAGAACAGGAUUUUUUUGUAUUGGUAAGCUCUUUGAGGACGGUCCUGACCUUUGUGAAAGGAUAGCACCUGUGCUGAAAAAUUCACCUCCUUGCUAAAAUUUUCAUUCCAGCUAAAACCAGAUGUCUUGCAUUAACUAUGUGUUGCCAUAGAGUUUCUGAGUUUUACAGCUCCUGUCAUUGUGAAAUAGUUUGAUUUUGCUUGGGAACAGGCCCACACUCCCACAGAAACUUUAAUUUCCAAUAAAUUACCUAUUGCUAGUGAAUUUUUCUUUUAAUCUAAUGCAAAUCUUGUGGUUUAGUAAAAUCAAAACCCCUCUAAAUGCAAUUCUGAGUGUAGAGAGCAUUAGUAAGAGUACAUGGGAAGGAUAAUUGUACGUUCCUCCUUUAGUCCAUUCAUAAAGAUUUCCAUUGAGGUGGAGAAAUCACCAACAUGUAAACCACCCUCCAUUAGUGUAAGACCAGUCUGAGAGAUACUUAUGACUAAGAAUAUUCUUUGUUGUUAUUCUAAUUACUAAAAUACCCCCCUCCCCAGUGUCCCUAUAUGCACAUUAUAGCUUUUCUGCAGUUCUGGAAAACAGUUACUACACAAAAUGCAAUUGUGGCCAAUUUUGUUAGGGUAGUAUCUCACAACUAAUAGGCAAUUUUCUUGAAUUUAAAACAAACAAACAAAAAAAAAAAAACCCAAAACUACCCCCCAAAAACAAAACAAGGACCUUUGGUAUCUCUGUGUACUUUGAGAAAGUCCCUUAGUAGUAGUAGCCAUCCAAUGGCUUAUGGCCUAGCCCAUUUGAUGCCUAAAGUAAAGAAACAACACUGCAUUUGGGAGUAUUCAUGCCCAGGAUGGCCAUGCUCUAGAAAACACCAUAUUGGAUUGGCUGAUGUGUCAAUGGUACAGAGACAAUGUUCUUCCAGCCAUUAUUACCCAGUCUGGAAAUGAAUUUCUGGGAGCUCCUCUUGGCAGAGCCAGCUUUCAUCUCACUGAAGCAGAUGAUAAAAUAUUUGCUUUCAUUUUUUCUUUCCCCUGAAAAUCAUGGCCCCAGCUAUUAGUAUUACCCAGCUGAAUACUUAGCUGGCAUUACCUGGCUCAUCGUGCUUGACUGUGGAGGGUAAUAUAAUAGAAUUAUAGAAUGGCUUGGGUUAGAAGGAACUUCAAAGAUUAUCUAGCUUCAACCCCUAUACCAUGGGCAGGGCUGCCACCCAACCGAUCAGGCUGCCCAGGAACCCAUCCAACCUGGCCCUCAGCAUCUCCAGGGACGGGGCACCCACAGCUUCUUGGACAGCCUGAGCCAGUACCUCACCACCCUCUCUCUGUAAAACUUCCCUCUGACAUGUAAUCUAAGUCUCUGCUCUAGUUUAAAACCAUUCACCCUCUAUUACUAUCUACCACUAUCUAUCUACAUGCAUAAAAAGUUGAUUUCCCUCCUGUUUAUAAUCUCCUUUUAAAUAUGUCAAAGACAGGCGCAAUAACGAAGAUCCAAAUGCCCUAUUAACAAAGGCUUUGAUUCACUAAAUCAUAUUCAAGAUAAAUGCCUUGAUUUAAGUAGUAAGAUCUGCAAAACAGCUAUUCUAAUGUGCUUAAAAGUGGGUGCAGAAAUAAGCACUUUUCCUAAUCAGAAUUAUAUCAUCUGUGGAGUUUUAUGGCAUUUUCUCACUUCCUUGGCAAGAUUGUGUCUGACAGCCAGAUGAUUGAUGAACCAAUUUAAUGCAGUCUUUGGUCAGCAGUGGGACCAACAGGUUUGAUAAACAGAGCAUGGGAUGAGUGCAAGAGACAGGAUGAGAUAUGAGUGGGGAAAAAUUCAUCACAUCAACACCAGGCUCCCUCACUGCACAGCCAGAAAAUGACAUACUUUUCUUGCAAAAGGUUUAUAUCCCUGGACUAACCUUGGCUCUUGGUUUGUGGAUGUCCAGAUAUGACUGCUGACCUGCCAGCUAUGGACAUAGGCUGCCAUAAAGAGCAAGAUGCUCCAAAACUGAAAACAGGGCCUAGAGUCAGCAUUGACCCUCAAUCAAUCCUGCCUCCUGUAGGCUUUGGAAGAGGGGAAGUAUUGGGAACAACGUUUAUUCCUGGAAGCUUAAGGAAGGCUCGGCUAAAGAUACAGGAAUUUGAAACCUUAUGGCAAAGAAGAUGAUCUUCCCCCAUCCACUUUGUCUCUAGCCCCCAAGUAGUCUUUGCCAUUCUGUAAUGAAAGAGGAGAAGAAAAACUGAGGGAGGAGAGCUCCCAUGGGUUUGGUCCUGGAGGUUGGACACCCCUACUCAGGUACCACUCAUGUUUAUCGGCCAAUUAGUAGUGACAAAUUCAAUCCUAAAUGGUGACUGUGGAUCUCAGACAUCACUCUGAGAUGAGGAUGGCAUAUGGCUUCACACCAAGCCAGGUGCCUAAAAGUCUCACAUGAAGUGAUGGCACCAAUCCUCAGCUACAAGGUGAGAGCUCCUAUUUGGGAUCAAUUUGCUUUGCCUUGGGGUUUGUUUGGUGUAACCUGUCUGUGUUUCAUUCCCUUCUGUCUGCCUCUAGUCCCCGUCCUCACUGCUGAUGGGAUGAAAAGCAUGUCAGAGGGUACAUCUGCUGUAGUGGCCCUGUCUCUCUUCGCCAACAUAGGUCACACAGCAGAAGAAAGGGUAGAAGAUGCUGCCCAGUGCUGCCAGAGAGGAUCCUAGCCCUUGUUCUCCCACCUCCCACCCCAAGAGAAGACAAGAAAUGGGGCAAUUGGUCUGGAAGGGGGAUUCUGCCUUGGGCAUCAUGAUCCACAUUUCAUGGUAGGAGACAAGAACAGAAAAGAGGGAGCACAUUUACUCAUCUUAAUGAGGUGGUACUUCAGCCACAUUCAGACAGUCACCAGAGAGCAAAUGAUGAAGACCACAUAUCUCAUGUGACAAGACUCUUUCUCCACCUGUGCAUUUCUUCUACUUCCCUGAAAUCUACAACAAACACAGUGGUGGGAAUAAAACCUCACAACUGUAUUUCUUCUUUCAUCGGUUCUUAGUUUUCUUCCAAUCUUGAUGCUCUUUCCCUUCCUCUCUUGGAGGGGCAAUAUACAUGAAGCAAUUGGCUUUAGCAGACAGAUGUGACUGAUGUAGAGAGAGAACUCAGCUGCUCCAAGAUGGACUAGGUAGAGUGGAAUAUGAGGAAAGUAUUUGAGAAGGAUACUCUUAGAGAAAGCUCUUCUUGGGUUUUCAAGUAUUUAAAAAUCUUAUAGGCAAGAAAGGUCACAGCUGUGUGUGGUUUAACAUGCCAUCUCUUCCUGAAGUAUGUCUGCAAAAACAGGGAAAGUGAGGCAGGAAGGAAAAAGUGCUGUGAUUCUGCAACAAAAAGCAGAAGCUGCAGUAAACCCAGGCUCAUGAAAGGUAUCCUGAUGCCACUUGAAGUUCUUUUACUUUAACAUCAACCAGAAAGAAAUCUAACAAAAUUACAAAGGCUUGAGAGUGUCUACACAGAGUACUCACUGGUUUUAAUGUAUUGCUUUAAGAGAAAAAUCAGUUUAGACUGCUAGAGCUUUCUCUAUCAGCCAGCUCUGCAAUAAGUUAAUGUUCAGAGUAUGAAUGAGGCAAUGAGGCUGUUCCUCCCCAUUAAGGACUUGAUGUUUGAAAAGAGGCAAGGAGCUUUGUUUAGGAGCUCACAGAGGAAAACUACUCUAAAUUAAUUUGGGGUGCAACAUUAGGAAAGUGCAACUGGCACGGCUGGAAAUGCUGAAUGUCCCCCCAUGCCUGGAACACCAGCCAUCUUUUCUGUCCAGGUGGCUUCUCUGGUGGAAGAGAGCUGUUCUGUAUGAGGAACGGGCUUAUCUCUGUGCUUAUCUUAACACUGAAUGGACCUCAUCAACAGACUGGGCAUUAGGAAAACAUUCUCCUCACAUUUACAGUGAGGGUGGUUAGAUGCUAGAAAAGGCUUGCUAGAGAGGUGGUUGAUGGCCCAUGGCUGUCAGUGUUCAAGAGGCAUUUGGAUAAUUUUCUCAUUAAUGUGUUUAAACUUUAGGUUAGCCCUGAGGUCAUCAGGCAGUUGGACUUGAUCUUUGUAAGUAGCUUCCAAUUGAACUAUGCCAUUCCAUUCCAUGUUCUUUACUCUUCUCUCCCCUACAAGAGCUCUGCAACUCUACUUACCUUACAGCACAAGUUGCUAAUGGAUUGAAAAGUUAUCAGUGAGGGCCGAUGGACAGAUGUACAGACAGUCAGACAAAGACCGCAAAAAUAAAUACAACUUGCAGGUUUCACUAUUGGUUCUAUCUUUAUGUCUCUAUCUUUCCAGCAAAUAGAUGCCCAACCUUAACUUGCUAUUGAUUACACCAGGAAUUCCCUUGCACAUGACAGAGUUAUAAGAUGGCUAAAUGGACAUAAAUUCAGUUCCUGUAAACUGCUGAUGGCCCACUUUCCUAAGGACAAGUAGGAAGUGCCAAAAACAACCCUAUAGAGCCCAGCAGCACAUGUUAGGGGAAAAAAGCCAGACCCAAACUUCAGUCCCUUCUCCUUCUGUACUCCAGUGUUGGGUCCCUCUCUGCAAGAAAGAUAUUGAGGCCCUGAGAAUCUGGUAUAUCAUUUUUGUUGAGCAUAAAGGAUUCUGCCAUCUCCAUAUACUGCUGCAUCUGACACUGAAGAUGUGAAAAUGUAUUUAAUUUUCCUUUUGAACUCGGCAGCAAACUGUUCUCUUUCAAGGGACAGUUUCAAAGAAGAUAUUUUAUUAGAACUUGUAUUUCUGAGUUCAUCACUGAAAUUGUAGCAAUUGAUGUACUGUGAAUAUUAUUUGGGAACAACAUCGUGAAAGCAAUACAGAAGCAUGUGGUGCCAUUUGUUUAUGGCAGAUUCUUGUGUUGGGUGGACACUUGGUUUGACCCAGAAUUUUCAUUUAUUCUCUGAAGGGCUCAGCACUGCAGGUUUAUAAUGCAGGGUGGCAUGCUGAGCCAUCAGGCUAGUAUUCUGCUCCUGUAUCUUUUUAACUAAAGAGCAUUGAUUUUGUUGACAUAAAAACUACAUAUAUUUAGGGUCAGAGCUCAAGGCAACACAUCUUAAUCAAAAUCUGUUUACUCUUGCUUAAAGUAUUUAGAAAGCACUGUGAACUACUGGAUUCCUUAAGCUUUCCACUGUGAUCUCUGUUACUACUUCUAUCAGGAGGUUCUGAGCUAGUAACCAGUAUAGGAUAAUUAAUAAUUCUGGAACUACUCAAACUGAAUUUAAGACUAACAGGAGAUACAGGCAAAGGAUUCAGAAUGAAACGUGGCAUUCCUUUCUGAUGGAGGGGAGAAAACAGUACCCAAAAAUAUGCUGAAUACAAAUGUGUGAAUUAAAAAUAUAUAUUUGUAAGAAUUAACUCAAGCAUUUGAUGUGGGUGAUUUUGAAAUAUUUUGCUUUGCUUUUCAGCUUUUUUAUAUAUAAAUAUAAAUAUAUACAUUAACUAAACCUUUCAGAUGAAAAUUUUCUUUCUGAUUAGAAAAAGGGAUUUGGAUUGUUUCACCUGAAAACGUGUUGACAUGGGAUAAUCCAACCUUCUCCAAAUCUGCUUUGAAAACUUUCUGAGAUUAAAAAUCUCUCAAAACAACUGUUUUCUGAAAUGAACACACACACACACUCUCAUAUAUCUUA